AUUUGGAUUUCCUGGUUACUGAUAUUUGGCUUUGUAGCAGAUGGCACAAGGGCUGUCCUAAAAGACUGGAAUAAUAUUGCAAUUUGUGUGUUGUUUCCGUUUCUAUGGUUAAAAUGCAUGUAGGAUUCGUAUGAUUGUUCGGUAGUUUCCAUCCGUACUCCAUACGAAUGUAAACUACCGAACCAAUAGACCACCCCAGAG